AGAACGAACGCUGGCGGCAUGCCUAAUACAUGCAAGUCGAACGAACACUUCGGUGUUAGUGGCGCACGGGUGCGUAACGCGUGGGAAUCUGCCCUUGGGUUCGGAAUAACAGUUGGAAACGACUGCUAAUACCGGAUGAUAUCGAAAGAUCAAAGAUUUAUCGCCCAGGGAUGAGCCCGCGUAGGAUUAGCUAGUUGGUGAGGUAAAGGCUCACCAAGGCGACGAUCCUUAGCUGGUCUGAGAGGAUGAUCAGCCACACGUGGGACUGAGACACCGGCCCAGACUCCGUACGGGAGCAGCAGGUAGGGAAUAGUGGACAAGUGGGCGCAAGCCUGAUCCAGCAAGUGCCGUCGUGA
rnacentral:rRNA from 1 species